rnacentral:lncRNA from 1 species
GGGACACACUGGCUAGGGAAGUGGCCAUAUGCUCGCCCGAUUCUCCCAGCACCCGAGCCCUGGCCGACCAGAGAUGAGGACCACAAGAGAAGCCAGGCUGCCAGCAUGUGUCUUUAAGAAGGAACGAAAGCCUGCUUGGUGCCAGCGGCCCCAUUCAGCUUCUUCCUUCCCACAUGUGUGACCUACUGAGCCCCACACAUCAAUCAAGCUGCCAGCUGCUGCAAGGAGAAAGAUACAAGAUGGAAAUUGGCCUGCGGUAGAAUAUAAUUUCAACAGCCCUUUCACAUAGAAUUUUGACAGUGCUGGUGAAGGGAUCUAGAGUUUUAGGGAUGCUGGAGGAGUAUUGAACCAACCUGCACCUCUAUCCCGCCCCUCUCCUCUUAAGGUAAAAACAGUCUCCAUUAGACAGGUAGGUCUUGAACUCACUCUGCAGCCCAGGUAAGUUAAACUAGUGGCCACUCUAGUAGCUGGGACCCGAGGUGUGAACCACUCUACCGGGCUAGAACUUUGAUGCUCUUAGGUUUCAUACACAUCUUGAGAACCUUUUAGAGUAUAUCAACUGAUAUACUGAUAUAAGCCAUUUCUAUCAGGAAAUGGGGUAUAUUAAUACAUACUUCAAGUAUUUCUAAUUUGCAAGAUUAGAAAUAUUGUACAGAUCUAUGUAUAAAAGCAUACAUUUGGCUAAGUGAAAUUACCAGGUCUCUCUACAUAAUUAAAACUAAUUUUUUUUU